rnacentral:rRNA from 1 species
UACGGGGGGUGCGAGCGUUGUCCGGAAUCACUGGGCGUAAAGGGCGCGUAGGUGGCCUGGUAAGUCUGUGGUGAAAGCCCGGAGCUCAACUCCGGGUCUGCCGCGGAUACUGCGAGGCUUGAGUGCUGUAGAGGGGGGUAGAAUUCCACGUGUAGCAGUGAAAUGCGUAGAGAUGUGGAGGAAUACCGAUGGCGAAGGCAGCCCCCUGGGAUAACACUGACGCUCAUGCACGAAAGCGUGGGGAGCAAACAGG